GGAAGCCCCCGGGGCCCCGGCGGCCGCGGGGUCUCGGGGCGGCCCGCCCGCGCCGAGCUGCCCGCGGGCGCCUUUGUGUCCGGAUCUGGGUGAACGAAACCGCCACCGUUUUGCUCUCGCGUCCGAGUUCCCUUUUCAGAUUCCCCCCAACCCCACCCCCACCCCGCUCCCCGCCCGGGAGCCGGGAGGCCACAGCCGAGGCUUCAUCGCUAAAAAGUAGACGCGGGCCCCGCCACCCCUACCCCGCCUCCGGAAGUGCCGGUCCCCGCCACCCACCCCAGGCAGAAAACAAUCCUUCUAUGAAGAACCUAAUGCCAGGCUUGUGGUACUCAGCGCCCUGCGGUGACUCCCGGGCUAGCUUCCUUGAAGCCUGUAAAGGACUCUCACUGGUUCUUCAUCCCCCUUCUGAGCAGAGUAGCCCAGCGAGACAAAGGGAUGUCUCCCCUGCGAGGGUCCAGGCUCCCGAGACGGAAGGGUCUUUUACGGAUCAUCUCUGAAGAAAUGGAAGCUCCAGAAAGAUAAAUACCUUCUUCCAAGUCACGCCGCCUGUAAAUGGCUGAGUCGGGACGAGGAGGAAGGGAACCAACAUGGGUACCGCACCUACUCCGCGUCCAAGAGCCUCACAGAAGUCGUCUUCGCUCCAUCUGCAGAGGAGAUUCAGGGAGGUUUAGGCACCACGCCGACAUCACGCAGCGAUGAAGAGGCAGGGCUGGCAGUUGGAUGUAGGUCUAGCUGAUUCUUAUAAUCUGUAAUUCUUUUCUUUUAAAAAUAUUUACUUAUUAGGCUGCAAAGGGUCUUAGUUGUGGUCCACCGAAUCAGUGGGGGCAUGUGAAAUUUUUUUUUUUUUUUCCUGGUUGCGGCAUGUGAGAACUAGUUCCUUGACCAGGGAUUGAAGUCGGCCCCCCUGCACUGGGAGUGCCCACUCUUAGCCACUGGACCACCAGGGAAUUCCCAUAAUCUGUAAUUCUUGCUAGACCUUUAUCUGUCUGGUUCACACGUGUCUCCCCAACAUCGAGGGAAUGAAUGAAGGAAUCAAGCUCUUUCCAGUCUCCCACACCUCCAUCCAGAUUCACCCUGAUCAAAGUUAACAGACCCUAGGGGCGAUUACACGGUUGCCAUGGUAACCGAACUUUAGAAGUAAGUGCUUCAGGCAACCCAGGACAAAACCAGUGAACCCUUCUCUCUCUGCAAUAAUUACAGCUUUUCUGUCCAAGCCGACAAAGGUUAACACAAAGCAGCAAAGAGGAGAGAGUCCCUGAUGACAAUAAAGUCAUACUUUAUUGCUCUUGACCA
rnacentral:lncRNA from 1 species